CCUACGGGAGGCAGCAGUGGGGGAUAUUGCACAAUGGGGGAAACCCUGAUGCAGCGACGCCGCGUGUGGGAAGACGGUCCUCUGGAUUGUAAACCACUGUCUCCAGGGACGAAGAUGACGGUACUUGGGGAGGAAGCUCCGGUAAACUACGUGCCAGCCGCCGCGGUAAUACGUAGGGAGCGAGCGUUGUCCGGAAUUACGGGGUGUAACGGGAGCGUAGGCGGGGAUGCAGGUUGGGGGUCAAAACUACCGGCUCAACUGGUAGUCGCAGUCGAAACUGUAGCUCUUGAGUGACGUAGAGGCAGGCGGAAUGCCUGGUGUAGCGGUGAAAUGCGUAGAUAUUAGGAGGAACACCAGUGGCGAAGGCGGCCUGCUGGGCUUUUACUGACGCUGAGGCUCGAAAGUGUGGGGAGCAAACAGGAUUAGAUACCCGGGUAGUC
rnacentral:rRNA from 1 species